rnacentral:misc_RNA from 1 species
CAUUUAUAAAUUCUUCCCCGUUGCUCUUCGAUUCCUUCAAAAUCUUCACUGCCACAAGACGGCCAUCAGGUAAUUUCCCUUUAAAAACACUUCCAUAACCUCCUUGGCCUAGUUUGUCAUUGAAGGAUCCUGUCAUUUUCUUAACUUCUGUAUAUUUGUAUCUUUUUGGUGACAUCACUCCAUUGUUCUUAAGAAACGCCUCAAUACUUUGAUGGCAUUGUGUGUUCUUCUUCCAAUAGAAAAUGGAGUAUUUGGA